rnacentral:rRNA from 1 species
AGCGUUGUGUGAAUUGUUGUGGAGGUAGAGCACUGAAUCUAUGAUGGCUGCACCUAGCGGUACUGAUUAGAAUUAAACUCCGAAUGCCAUAAUUUGUGCACAGCAGUCAGAACAUGGGUGAUAAGGUUCAUGCUCGUGAGGGAAACAGCCCAGAUCGUCAGCUAAGGUCCCUAAGUGUAAACUAAGUGUGUAAGGAUGUGGAACUGCACAGACAGCUAGGAUGUUGGCUUAGAAGCAGCCAUCAUUUAAAGAGUG